CAUUCCAUUCCAUUCCUUUCCAUUCCAUUCCAUUCCGUUCCACUCGGCUUGAUUCCAUUCCAUUCCAUUCCAUUUUUUCCAAUCCACUCGGGUUGAUUCCAUUCUAUUCCAUUCCAUUCCAGUUGAUUCCAUUCCAUUCCAUUCCAUUCCAUUCCAUUCCAUUCCAUUCCAUUCAGGUUGAUUCAGUUCCUUUCCAUUCCAUUCCAUUUCAUUCCAUUCCAGUUGAUUCCAUUGCGUUCCAUUCCAUUCAAAUGCAUUCCAUUCCAUUCCAUUCCAUUCCAUUCCAUUCCAUUCCAUUCCAUUCCAUUCCAUUCGGGUUGAUUCCAUUCCAUUCAAUUCCAUUCCAUUCCACUCCAUUCCAUUACAUUUCAUUGCACUCUGGUUGAUUCCAUUCCAUUCCAUUCCAAUCCAUUGCAUUCCGUUCCAUUGCAUUCGGGUUCAUUCCAUUCCAUUCCGUUCCGUUCCAUUCCAUUCCAUUCCAUUCCAAUCCAUUCCAUUGCAUUCCAUUCGUGUUGAUUCCAUUGCAUUCCAUUCCAUUCCACUCCAUUCCAUUCCAUUUCAUUCCAUUCCAGUUGAUUCCAUUCCUUUCCAUUCCAUUCCAUUCCAUUCCAUUCUGUUACAUUCUACUCGGGUUGAUUCCAUUCCAUUCCAUUUCAUUCCAUUCGAUUUCAUUCCACUGGUGUUUAUUCCAUUCCACUCCAUUCCAUUCCAUUCCAUUCGGGUUUAUUCCAUUUCUUUCCAUUCCAUUGCAUUCCAUUCCUUUCCAUUCUAUUCCUUUCCAUUCCAUUCCAUUUGUGUUGAUUCCAUUCCAUUCCAUCCCAUUCCAUUCCAUUCCAUUCCAUUCUAUUGCAUUCCAUUCCAUUCCAUUCCACUCGUGUUGAUUCCCUUCCAUUCCAUUCCAUUCCAUUCCAUUCCAUUCCAUUCCAUUCCACUUGGGUUGAUUCCAUUCCAUUCCUUUCCAUUGCAUUCCAUUCCAUUGCAUUCCAUUCCAUUCCAUUCCAUUUCAUUCCAUUCUAUUCCAUUCCGUUCCAUUCCAUUCGUGUUGAUGCCAUUCCAAUCCAUACCAUUCCAUUCCAUUCCAUUCCGUUCCGUUCCAUUCCUUUCGUGUUGAUUCCAUUCCAUUCCAUUCCACUCCAUUCCAAUCCAUUACAUUCCACUCGGGUUGAAUCCAUUCCUUUCCAUUCCAAUCCAUUCCAUUCCUUUCCAAUCCAUUCCAUUCCAUUCAAUUCCACCUGGAUUCAAUCUAUUCUUUCCAUUCCAUUCCGUUCUGUUCCAUUGCAGUCCAUUGCAUUAGAUACCAUUCCAUUCCACUCGGGAUGAUUCCUUUCAAUUCCAUUAUAUUCUGUUCAAUUCCAUUCCACUCAGGUGGAUUCCAUUCCAUUCCAUUCCAUUCCAUUCCAUUCCAUUCCAUUCCAUUCCAUUCCACUCGGUUUGAUUCCAUUCCGUUCCUUUCCAUUUCAUUCCAUUCCAUUCCAUUCCAUUCCAUUCCAUUCCAAUCCAUUCCGUUCCACUCCACUCCGGUUGAUUCCAUUCCAUUCCAUUCCAUUCCAUUCCAUUCCAUUCCAUUCCAUUCCAUUCCAUCCCAUUCGGGUUGAUUCCAUUCUAUUCUCUUCCUUUCCAUUCCAUUCCAUUCCGUUCCAUUCCAUUCGGGUUGAUUCUAUACCAUUCCAUUCCAUUCUAUUCCAUUCCAUUCCAUUCCAUUCCAUUCCAUUCCAUUCCACUUCUUUCCAUUCCAUUCCACUCCAUUACAUUACAUUCAAUUCAACCGAGAUUGAUUCUAUUCCAUUCCAUUCCAGUUGAUUCCAUUGGAUUCAAUUCUGUUCCAUUCCAUUCCAUUCCACUCGGGUUGAUUCCAUUCCGUUCCUUUCCAUUCCAUUCCUUUCCGUUCCAUUCCAUUCGUGUUGAUUCCAUUCCAUUCCACUCCAAUCCAUUCCAUUCCAUUCCAAUCCAUUCCAUUCCAUUCAAUUCCACUCGCAUUCAAUCUAUUCCAUUCCAUUUCAUUCCGUUCUGUUCCAUUCCAUUCUAUUGCUUUCCAUACCAUUCCAUUCCACUCGGGAUGAUUCCAUUCCAUUCCAUUAUAUUCCGUUCCAUUCCAUUCCACUCGGGUUGAUUCCAUUCCAUUCCAUUCCAUUCCAUUCCAUUCCAUUCCAUUCCAUUCCACUCGGUUUGUUUCCAUUCCAUUCCUUUCCAUUUCAUUCUAAUCCAUUCCAUUCCAUUCCAUUCUAUUCCAUUCCAUUCCACUCCAUUCCAUUCCAUUCCUCUCCGGUUAUUCCAUUCCAUUCCAUUCCAUUCCACUCGGGUUGUUUCCAUUCCAUUCCAUUCCAUUUUAUUCCGUUCCGUUCCAUUACAUUACAUUCUAUACCAUUCCACUCGGGUUGAUUCCAUACCAUUCUGUUCCAUUCCAUUCCGUUCCAUUCUAUUCCAUUAAAUUCCAUUCCAUUCCAUUCCACUUGGGUAGAUUCCAUUCCAUUCCAUUCCAUUCCAUUCCAUUCCAUUCCAUUCCAUUCCAUUAGUUUCUAAUCGGGUGAUUCCAAUCCAUUCCAUUAUAUUCAAGUCCUUUCCAUUCCAUGCCAUUCCACUCGGGUUGUUUCCAUUUUGUUGUAUUCCAUUCCAUUCCAUUCCAUUCCAUUCCAUUCCAUUCCAUUCCAUUCCAUUCUAUUAGUUUCUAAUCGGGUGAUUCCAAUCCAUUCCAUGAUAUUCAAGUCCUUUCCAUUCCAUGCCAUUCCACUCGGGUUGUUUCCAUUUUGUUGUAUUCCAUUCCAUUCCAUUCCAUUCCAUUCCAUUCCAUUCCAUUCCAUUCCAUUCCAUUCCAUUGCAUUCCAUUCCACUCUGGUUGUUUCCAUUCCGUUCCAUUAGUUUCCAUUCCAUUCCAUUCCUUUCGAUUCCAUUCCAUUCCAUUCCAUUCCAUUCCAUUCCAUUCCAUUCCAUUCCUUUCCACUCAGGGUGAUUCAAUUCCAUUCCAUUCCAAUGCAUUCCAUUCCAGCUGAUACCAUUGCAUUGCAUUGUUUCCAUUCCAUUCCUUUCUAUUCCAUUACAUUACAUUCCACUCGGUUUGAUUCAUUUCCAUUCCAUUCAAUUCCAUUCCAUU
rnacentral:lncRNA from 1 species